GCAUGAGGUGCCCGGGGCAGCCGUGGCAGGGAGCCGGGCAGGAGCAGCGUCCCCCGCCUCCUGAGGAAGCAGGCCGCAGGCCCGGGGGCUGCCUGCCCGCCUGCCCCCGGUGUGAGGGGCUGCCCGCCCGCUCCUCUCACACCUUCCCCUCCCCAGCAGCCUGCGCCGCGACGGGUUUAUGUCAGCUCUCCUUGCACAGAGCGGAAGUCGGCAGCUGUUAAAGAACUAUUUGUCAUUACAGUUGUAUUAUUUCAUAGCUUGACAUCCCAGAAGAGCUUUUACUCUCCCGGAGAGGUUUUGCCCAGGCCUGCCUGGCAAACAGUUUGCAUUUGUCUGGUGCACUCCAAACACAGGAAAGAACGGCUACUGAGAAUGAGGAGAAGACAGGGCAUCACCUAGUAGGAUGAAGAGGCUAUGCAAACAAACAUGGACUAAUCCAGUGCCAUGCAGCUAUAAUGGAAGGACAUCCUGGUCACUCUGGAGCAGUAGCAGCUUUACCUGGGAAUACUUAGAAAAGAAACAAUGUUCCAAAGAACAUGACACCUGAGUAUCCUGGAAGGUUGGGUCAUCCUUCAUCCCCUGACUGUGGUCUACAAGCAGGUCAUGAAAUGCAAAUGAAAAGCCUCCCUUUAGAAGUUUGCAAAGCAAAAAAUCCUUCAAAUAGAGGCCUGUCUCUCACUGGAUGCACGCCAGACUGUCCUUCAGGAUAUAGUGCAGUGAGUAGGAGAAGAAAUGUGUUUGAACUUGGCAUAAUUGCAAUGAACAUAAAGGGAGAUACCGGAGCUGCUUCAUCAGUGCCGUUUCAAUACUGUGGUUGAUCUGAGGAAAAGGAUUGCAUUGAUGAAUUAGUGCAACAACCCUCCCAGCCAUGGAACAAUACAUCUUACAAGAAAAUCCAUAGGUGACUAAUAGGCCAGAUUGGUCAUCCCUCACCCACAGUCUUUUGAGAUCUGAGAGAAAUGUUUUGGUAUACCUGGAAAUCAGUCUAGAUUUAAAUUAAAUUAAAUUAAGCAUCUUAAUACAGAAUUUAGAAUUUAACAUGGUGUGCCUUGUGAACAAAAACAACAACAAAAAAAUUUAUUUCCACUGUGGAUAAUUUAGUCUUGAAUAAUGCUUUUUACCACAUUUCAGCAAUGUGUCCGAUAUCUUAAUACCUUUGCUUUCAUGUUUGGGGUUUUUUUUGUCAGUCAUUACACAAUAUAAUUUAGAAUCAACUUAGCACCCUUCCAUUGUGUUGAGUCGUUCCAGUGAAUAGUGAUUGCAGGAUUAGCCUCCUAGUAAUUAAGUGCUGCUGCCUCUUAUCUUGAAAAUGAAACACCACUAUGGAAUUUAAGAGUUUCUUGCUUUAUUUAGGUUGUGUGUCUAAAUAGUAUGGAUAGGUGUACCAGGUCAGUGCAGACACAGUACAAUCUUAAAAAAAAACCCAAACAAAAACCACACAUUAAAAAAUCAAAAAGAAAAGAGAGGGGUAGGGAGGAAGAAGAGAGCAAGCAAGAGAAGGAAAAUAAAUUCACCCAAUCAUUAAAACUUUGAACUGCAUGGAAAAUUUUCCACACUUAGCUGAAUCCUGACUGUAAUUUCCUAAUUAUGCCCUUAUACAAUCCAGAUAAAGGAUUCAUGUGUGUACUCAUUUUCACUCACAGAUGGGUCUUCAAAAUUUUCAAGUGAUAAGUUGUGUAAAACAGAAUGUAUUGCCUAUUUGUUGAAGCCUAUAGGUGUACCUAUUUCAAUAAAGCAGAAGCUGGGUUCCUUACUGUUUGUGGACUAAAGAACCCAUUGAAUGCUUGCUUCUCAUAUUGGCUUUACUACUAUGCAAAGUUUGACCCCUUGAAUUCACUGAUUAAUGUUUUAAGCAGAAUGAAACCUUUAUUAAUUUUAUUUUUUUCAAAAUCUGCUACCAAAAAUCACAGUUAUUUCAGUGUUCAAAGACAGUUCUUUGCUUCUUCAAAGACUUUAUUAAACUGAUCUGUACCAUCCUCCCCACAGGACUAUAGUGGUGUAGCCUCAUAUGAUACAGAUGAUGAGCUUCUGUCUGAAAUAAUAGGGAUGAUACCUAAUCCUGAACUGACAUCUGAAGGAUUUUAAAUAAAGGUUAUCAAUGAGACGUCUGCAAGCUAGCCUCAGUUAGUUCUGUCUCUUCUGUGUUAGGAUGAUGGUCUCUCUUAAGAGAUCCAGAGCCUGAGCUUUUUUCCUUGAGCUUUUGUUACAUUUAAGGAUUCAUGCUGAAUAACAAUAAUAAAAGAUGAAUCCCAUCUGGUUUUCUGUUGAUUGUUAGUUUGAUUUAGUGUAUGACUUCUCAAAGUUUAGUCUGCCAGCCAAGGAAGGUAUGCGGUUAUCAACAUUACUGAUAGGAUAAACCAAUUAUGUAAGCCUAUUUUCAAAUUUCCCCAAAUCCCAUAAUACUUAACAAAGUAAAACACUUUGAGUUGAAAUGCACCUGUUUACAGAAAGAUACAGCAUCAAAUAGAGGUUUCAUUUAGAGCUUUGGGUAGACUAAAUGGCCUUGUUGACAUUUGCCUGUUGCCAUUUUAAGGCAGGAAAUAUAGCAGGAAACUGAAAAGAAAGUAUGGACAAGAAAAACACAGAGUUGUAAGAAAGACUUUUAGAGUUGUAAGAAAGACUGUUCUGUUUAGAAGGCUGUGGAGGCUCAAGGACUGAAAAGAUCUGUAUGUGCUGUGUUUUGGGUGUCUAGUUAGCGCUGCAUCUUCAAGCUGUAACAGUAUUUCUCAAACUGUGCAUCCAACCAUUGCCUUGGCAGGACUCCGGAUUAAUCCUGUGUGAGGACAGUGCCCAUGGGACUUAGCAAAAGUUGCUUGUCCUUUCCUCACGAAGAUAUGUAUUUCUUCCUGGGUAGUGUGGGAGGUGGCUUCUCCUUUCUCUCUGCAUUUGUAGCCACCGUGAAAAUAGAUAAUUCCAGAAGACAGUCUAAUAUGCAAUUGCAGACCCAAAUGUUGUCGUAGAGGUUUGAGACUCUGUCUCCUGACACACAGCUAAAUUGUACAUGCACAUGCAAGCAUUUUCACAAACCUGCUAAUGAAUGGCCUAAACCAAGUUAGAUGGGGCUUACAAGGGAUGAUCAGGGAGAGGACAAAAUGCCAAGGGGCAAGAAAGACAAAAAAGCACAAAGAACAGUGAGAAAGAAAUUCAAAACAUGGAUAAUGGAAAGUGUAAAACGGUAUCAUCAAUGUCAGGCCAUGAAACAAGGGGGGCAUUCUGUCGUUGAAUCACACGGUGCAGGCCCCCAUAAAUGUGCAACACACAAAGUAUGGAAGAUGCUGUGCAAGGUAGGUGUGUAAAAAGGAUGAGCAAACAGAGGAGGACUGUGAAAAAAGAAAAAGUGAGAAGAAAGUUUUUGAAAAAGGUCAGAAGAGACAAUAAGGGCACAAAAGCUGGUAUUGAAGAAAAGGGGUGAGACAGUAGAAGGAAAGAUGAAAUAAAGUAUGGCCACUGAUUUGAUUUGCUGUUUUUUGUUAGAAAUGUAUCCUUUUGCCACUUCUGGAUGCCAUCCACAUAUAUAAGAAAAUACAAGCUUUCCAGCUUAACUGGGUGAAACUCCCUUCCCAGAACCCUGGCAUCAAAACCACCUGCCAAACCCAAUAAAACAACCUUCAGUAUUUAAUCGAUGUCAGUGUUAAAUAACAUCCUGUGCAAAGCAGGAAGAUGCCAGCCCAGCUGGAUGAAUACAUGCCAGAGCAUUUAGAUGUUAACUGGUGUGAUGUAUCAAACUCUUAAGCAAAUAGAUACCUAGGCAAACAGCAGGGCGACCAAAUUCCAUGGUGCACUACCCUGCUAUCUCCGCUGGGUUGCAAAAUGUGUGAGUCAGAGGUAGGAGAUAGCCCUUGGCAGUAUCUGUGGAGAGAACUAUGAUCCUCACUUAAGCAAACCCGCAUGUUCUUACUUCCUGCUGUUUCCCAGCCCUUUUCAAGCAUGCUUUCUAGCAGUACUCUGCCCCAAUGUCUAUGUGGCAGUCAACCAAGGUCUGCACCAAUACGAAAGGGUUCAUUUACUAGAAGGAAACGGGCGCUGCGAGCAGGACAUCAGUUGCUCAGGAGACGGCAACCUCCAAGUCCAACCUCCUGUUGCGCAGUUGUGGUCCAGAGUCUGAGCCACCAUUGUAAAAACAACAAACAGGCCAGAUCCACAGCUGGCAUAGAGCUACGGGAGCUCACAUAUUAGCUUCAGCUCUGUCUUCUUUAUCUCUUGUGGCACUAAAGAUUAUGAUUAAAAAGAUGCCCAGGAUAUAACACAUGAAGUAAAGUGUAAUGAAUUCACCAGCAACCUUAAGUAAAAGCCUAAGCUGCUUAAUUUAGCCUUGGAAUCAUUUUACUGCUGAGCUUUUUUUACCUUUCUUGUGGGUGCUGUCAUAAAUGACCUGUGGGAACAGUGGAUCUGUCAUUUCUGGACAUUUUCAAGAAUAUCACUAUUGGGAUUGAACUAGAUGCAACUGAAGCAGAGGAACCAACUAGAUCAUCUCUUGGUGUCUCUUCCAACCUAAUAUUUUUUCUAUGAUUUUAGCAAAUGCAUUCAUUACUGCCCUAAGCUUGCAGUGUUACACUGCUUCCCCUAGGCUUGUGUAACACAAGCCCCAACUACCAAACCCCCCUGCUUCCUCCAUGGCUACUCACGCAAUACAAAAUGUGGUAUUGUCAGUUUUGCACAAGGUUGGGAAAUUACAAUCUGAACCAUGGCGACAAUGUAAAGUAAAAAGUAAAGAAUGAUAUCAAAGUUAAUAGGUAGCCAGCUUAUUACAGUGUUUCAUGUUCUGCUCAAAAUAAUUUUCUACUUCAAAUUUGAGUGACUUGCCACAAAAACUCCCACAUGCUCACAACAGUACUGAGGUAAACUGGGCCUGGAUUCUGAAGAAAGGAGCCAGAACAAGGUGCUAGAUCUCCUGGGAGUUUCCCGGAAGAGAUGUAGCUCACCAGAGUUGGACAUCUGUUCCUCGAGCAUCCUGCUAUCCCUUCACAUCCACCCUGCCUGUAUCUGCUUGGCUUCUGCCUGUGAUUGGAACCAACCUGAAACCGCUGGCUCCGUUCCCCUCACUGUAGGAUGCGAAAGCGCAGGCCGUAUGAGGCAAAACCAAGAGGUAGAGCUGUACAUCAGCUGUUUCCUGGUGAUUUACAGACCGGUAAGAUCCACUACACCAUCUGGUUACCUCCCUCCUGUAAGAAGCAAUGUGUGAUAGCGGACCAGCUCUUUUAAAUGGUUCCAGAACACCAUUUUCCUCUCCACUUCUGUUCUUCCGACAUCGGACUACACCUGCGUAUAGAUUAGUUUGUUCUGUCCUUCUCAGUGGUACCACAGCUCCAUCAGCAACUUACUUCUCCUUUGCCCUUUACUUCCUAAAUCAAGAAUAAAUAAGGAGAAGAAUUUGCUAACACCAUUUUAGGUGUGCUGCCAAAAAUGGACUGGUUAUAUUGUCUGAAAAACAUCAGUAGCUGACAAGUCCUGCAGAGAGAUUAAAUACAUGGGAGGACUGUGAGCAAUAUGAGAGACACAUGCUGCUAUUGAUAAGCGAGAAUCAGUGUUUGUUUCCCAGCACUCCCGGUAUCAAAAGAGUCGGUUGCGAUGUCUCAGCUCGCUGUUGUGCAUUCCUGGUACCUGACCUUCUCCGCCUGGCUGUUGUGCAUCUAUUUGCCUGCGAGCUUCCCACUACAUGGAUCAGACUGGGAAGGGGGAGGGGAAAGGAAGAGCAGAGGAAGGCAGCAGGGGAAAUAAAUACCGAAAUUCUUUUUUUUUCCUGAUUUUAUGCAUAGUCUAGGGAAAAGGACACUGGCAGGAGCCAAAUGAUACCUGAAUGCUGCUGUGCCAACAGGACAGCUUUAUGGGUCAGAAGUCUGAUUACCCCUACCUUUGGUUCCAGAACUGUUACACAGGGGAAAGACAGACAUUUUCAGGGUAAAAACUGUGGUAGAGUGGUAGAGAGCAGACCCCUUUGCCCUGCGACUGUGUGGUGUGGUUAUAUAGCUAAAAAAUAUUGAACAUUUCAUAUUAAAAAAGGGCAGAAGAGGAAGGCAGAACAAAUCCUAUGCAGCUCGCUGCUUUCUGCAGGCUGCGAUCCACACGGGCAAUACCCUCACAGUCCCUCUGACAGCCCCACGGCAGAGCAGGCAUGUGGGCUCCAUACCGCAAUGAAAACCUGAGCUCAUGAGGCUGUAACAUUCCUCCUCCAUCAUUUACGUUGUUUUCCCUCCUUCCCCUCCCCUCUUACACCUGCCUGCAGCCACCGCAGCUUGCUUUCUCUCUGGCACACGCCUUUUGUGGCCUAGGGAGGAGAGAGGUGGGAGCAGGGAAUGGCAGCUCACCUGAGUGGAACCAGGAACCAGCAGAGUUCAACCUCAAAAACACCAGUUAGUGGGUCAGGAUACUGCCCCGGGGUGGACGGGACUGGGGAAGGUGAUUACAG